AGUUUACAUUCAGGAUUUUUUUGUGGAGCUUCAAUGAAGAUCAACAGCAGAAGGUACAUGUCAACUUUUUCAGGUGUGGUGGUGUCCUCUCAUGGUGUAAAAAUUGUAAGGCUGUCCCAGUUGAUACCUCCUUCAGAGUGACUAGCAGUGUCUGUAUAUAAGAUCCUGUGGCUGGCAUUUAUUUCUUGCCUUCUUCAGCCAGUGAACCAUCUGAUGGAUAUCUACAGUUCAGGCUUCAGUACAAACACUUGCUGAGAAAUGUCCUUAUUUUUUUGGAUGGACUUCUUGUGAACCAAUAUCUUAAAGUACAAAAUAUUUCAAGUUUGAGAUUAGAUAAACUGUUUAUUUCUAAGAAAAGGAUGUGAGUGGAUUAAGGAACCAAUGCUUUCAAAUUUGGUGCUUGUGAGCAUCAUUCACCUUUUGUAAUGGGCCAUAAUUUUCUUUAUGUUGUGUUUUGGACUUUUUUUCCUACUUUUGUAUGGUUUUCUGACUUUAAAUCUGGACAAUUAUUCCUUAAUCUGGAUUUUUAAACCUGUUUUAUUAUGUGAUGUUUUUUUAACAUAAUGUAUUGGGUUUGUAUGGCCAGGUUUUGGUAUAGGAGGAGGUUAGAGGAAUGGCUUCUAUGAGAAGCUCUCUGAAACUUCCCCAUGUCCAGCAGAAGCAACAUCAGGUGGCUCCAAGAUGGACCUGCUGCUGACCAAGGCUGGGCCAAUUAGAAAUGGUGGUAAUGCCUCAACCAUAACAUAUUUAAGAAGAAGGAAGGAAAAGUUAUUGUGCAGCUAAGGAAAAGUCAUUGUGUCCAGAGAACAUUGGGAUGAGAAUACAGGAGAGGAACAACCCUGCAGACACCAAGGUCAGUGCAGAAGGUGCUCCAGGCACUGCAGUGAGAUCCCCCUGCAGCGUGUGGUGCAAACCAUGGUGAAGCAGCUGUGCCCCUGCCGCCCAUGGAGUUCCAUGGGGAUGCAGAGAUCCACCUGCAGCCCAUGGAGGAGACCCAGGCCAGAACUGGUGGAUGCCUGAGAGGCGGCUGUGACCCCCUGGAAGUCCUGUGCUGGAGCAGGCUCCCAGCAGGCUCCUGCAGACCUGUGGAGAGAGAAGCCCAUCCUGGAGACACAGGCUGUGCCUGAAGGACUGCAUCCUGUGGGAGAGUAACACAUUGCAGCAGUUUGUGGAGAACUGCUGGAUGGACUCCUGUUGGAGACGUUCAUGGAGGACUGUCUCCUGUGGGAAGGAUCCCACACUGGAGCAGGGAAAGGACUCCUCUGCUUGAGCAGUGGCAGAAACAACGGGUGAAGAACUGACCAUAACCUCUUAUUCCCUGUCUCACUGUGCCACUGGCAAAGGAGCCCCUCUGAAGCCUAUGACGUUAGAAAUACUUUCUUCCAACAUGGUGAAAUCUGGAGGUGUGAUUAUUGAAUACAGCUGAGUGGACACAAUGCCCAAAAGCCUGAGGAAUGCAUUGCUCUUGGCAGUGACCCUGCACCCAUCCCAGCAGAGCAGCCUUGGCACUUCCCAUUGGCACACCAGAGCAGCUACUGCUUUUUCCAGCCAGGAAUUUUUUAAAAAAAUUGUAUCCAAUGCACCAUGCAUUGCUGAGCCCUUAGGAGUCAGCAUUUCUAUUAGACUUACUGUAAAAUAACUAAAAGCAAGAAGGGUCAGAAAGUGUUUGAAAUAUACACUCACCCCUUCAGAAAAACAUCAAACUUAUGUUUAAAUUCAUUUCUAUUAAAAAAAAAAAAGAUUCAGUGGGAUUUAUAUUUAUAUUUUAAGUUGAAAAUAAAAUGAGUAGAAAAAGCACAAAAGGUAAAUAUGAAAUAAAAACAAAGUAUAGAAGUAGUUUGUAAAACUUAUACUGCCACAUUGGGAUCCUGGCUCCUGAUGGGCUCCUCUGUAGCUUAAAACAGACCUGGCUGCAGCCAUUCUAGGAGUAGUGAUGCACAUUCUUUUAAGCAAAAGGGCUCUAUGGUGCACUUGGGGAUUUGUACUUCAGAGCUGCCCUUAGGGCCAGAUUCUGCAUCAGAAAAUCUAUCAAUCCUUUACAAAGCUGCAAAACUACUGACAAGUGUCUAAAUUUCUUUCUGUUCAAGUACUCAGUUACUCCAAUGGAGCAGAGGAUGCAUUAAAAAUGUCUUUGCAGCCUCCUGUGAGCCAGGCACAUGCAGUUGGAAAAAUCUCAUUUUCUCACUAAUGGAUAUCUUUGUAGGGUAAGGACAGAUAGACUUUUUACAAAACCCUCACAGUCCUCCAGGAUUAACAAAUUGCUCUGGUAAAAUCAUAAGAGGCAUGAAUGUCAAACUCAUGUUACACGUUUAAGGUAAGUCUCCACUAGAAGAUGGACUAACCUAUACUUUUGGAUGUUGUUUAGAUUUGUCCCACUCUGCCCUGCCCUGGUGCAGCCUCACCUUGAGUAACGUGAGCAGUUUGGGGCACCACCACGUAAAAAAGUCAUUUAAGCUAUUGGAGAGCACCCAAAGGAGAGCAGUGAGGCUGGGGAGGGCUCUGGAGGGAAAGUCAUGUGAGGAGCAGCUGAGGUCAGUCGUUCUGCUCAGCCUGGAGGAGACUGAAGGGAGAGCUCACUGCAAUUACAGCUUCCUGAGAGGGGAAGAGGAGGGGCAGGCAUUGGUCUCGUCUCUCUGGUGGCAGUGACAGGACUGAGGGAGUUGCCAGAAGUUUUGUCUGGUUGGACAGUAGAAAAAGGCUCUUCACCCAGAGAAGGGUGAAGCUGGGCACUGAACAGGACCCCUAGGGAAGUGGUCACAGCCCCAGCCUGUCAGAGCUCCAGACCCAUUUGGUAAAUGCUCUCAGGUACAAGCUCUUGUCAUUGGUGGUCUGGGGAGUCCCUCCCAACUCAGCAUAUUCCAUGGCUGUACAGUUCUGAGAUUUGCAUUAUUGUUUCUGCAGCAUUGAUUACUGAACAGUCACCAGCUGGUAAAGUCUCUCAGCUAACACCAGCUCCACUCAGAUCUCAGUAAGGGAGCUGGAGGUAAAAUGUUGCAUAUCAACAGUGCCAGUGCGAGUUUAUUCAACCACUCUUACAUAAUAAAUCUUACAUCAGUAACAUGCACAAUUUAUGGCAAACAAAUGAGGGAUUUCACAUGCUGCUCAGAUUUGUGUUUACACCAAGAAAGAACACGGCCCAUAAAUAAGAUUGUUUGGGAAACAUUUACUGCUGUCAUACUGAUAAUGCAUUUUAAAUCCUGGGGUUAUCAAAAAAAGGGAUUUUUUUUCUCCAUAUUGUUUGACAGCUGAAAUUAAACAAAUUCUAUUGAAGUACAAAGCUAAUAGAAGGUUUACUAUGUGUGUCAUUAGCACCAUCCAUAUAAGGAAACAGAAAAUAUGAGGUGUGGAUUUUUAAAAUAUGAUAAAAUGAGAGCACUAUUAGAUGCAUAUGAAGGUGUGACUUCAGGCCAGGCAUUUACUUAUUAGAAUCAAAGUGACUCUAUCUUACAUUUGUAAAUAAUCUCUGUUAUGUGAUUCAAGUUGACAUCUUUCAGAUUAUUUUCUCAUGUCAAAAACGUAUAUUGCAUUUGAAAUACAUUUUAAUUGUUAAACCAUCUUAAUAAAAUAUAUGACAUAAAAUUAUUACUUUCCCAUACACUGCUAAACUUUGUGUUCAGGCAUAGUGGACCCUAAAGGAUUGACUUAAUUUUUAAGCCACAUAUUUUUUAGUUCUUGCUUUAGCAUUCUGUUAUUUUUAUGGAUAAUCCCAAAUUUAAUAUGCUAGAUUGUUUAAAAUCUUAUAUCAGAGCUCAGGCUCAACACAAACAUUCCACUGUAUUUUAUUUUUCUUUCCCUUUCAAGGAAAAACCUGAAAUUGAGUUAAAUAAAAGCAUUCUAGUUGUGUCUGCCCCCAAAAUUCUAGAAGACAAAUUCCACAAUUUCUUCAUAAAGUUUGGAUGACUAUGUUUUGAAAAACUAACAUAAUCUUUAAAGAUAUUUAUUUAUUAAGGCAAUUAGAUGAACCUACUACAAUUUUAACCAGAAAUCAGAAGAUUAGAAAGUGACAAAAGGUUUUGGUUUGUUCCAUUGGAUUAUGCAGCACACUUUUAAGACUGACAGUUUUGAAAAGAAAGUCUAUUUGGAGUGCUUGCUUUGGAAUAAUAGAUAGUGCUAACUUCAAAUUUAUGUUAAAAUGUGACAAACUGUUCAGAUAUUUAUGUUAGCAGAGUUAUGGACAAAAUCAUGAAGAUAUAUACAAAUUUAAAGUAAAUGAAGCAAUGUAUUUUUUAAAGAUUCAAGUAUAAAGGCCAGCUUAGGUCAUGAAGAAAUUUAGCCCCCAUUUUGGGAUGGCCUUUUUCAGUGACCCCCCAACAAUAGGUGUAUUUUCAUCUGUGCUUCACUAUAUGCCUUUGUCUGAUACAUUUAACUGUUCCCCUGUGCUUCUUGUCAGUUUAUAUCAUUUUAUCUUAGGUUGACUUUUUUUCUUAUGUUUCGCCCAUGAUUAUCUUCCAUUUGUUAGUUUUUGUUAGAGAGCUGCCAGGCCAGAAAUACUUCUCAUCUACAUAAAGGGAAUUUUAAAAUGCUUAUUUCUUAUGGUUAAACUCCCUAACAUCUCCAGCUUUUCUUUCUGUGCUUCUGAGAUGCAAAUGCUCAAGGCAGAAUCUGUGUGCUACAUGUGCUGAUGCAACCUUUCUGAAAGAGGUGCAAAUAUUUUACAGCUAGCUAUUGUGACAGAUGUAUUUGCAUGUGUUAUUUU